UACUGGGCACCACCUGUAUGCAGAGCAUUAUACUAGAUGCCUACUGGAGUGCCUAGCACU
rnacentral:pre_miRNA from 1 species